UACAGAGGGGGCAAGCGUUUAUUCGGAAUUAUUGGGCGUAAAGGGCGCGUAGGCGGCCUGGCAAGUGGAUGGUGAAAUCCCUCGGCUUAACCGAGGAACUGCCAUCCAGACUGCUUGGCUUGAGACCGGGAGAGGUGAGUGGAAUUCCCAGUGUAGCGGUGAAAAUGCGUAGAUAUUGGGGAGGAACACCAGUGGCGAAGGCGGCUCACUGGACCGGUACUGACGCUGAGGGCGCGAAAAGCGUGGGGGAGCAAACGGGG
rnacentral:rRNA from 1 species